UUAAUUACUUACAUUAAAUUUUUAUUUUAUUUAUUAAUUGAAGGAUAUGAAUGGAUUUUUGUGACCACACGGUUUUCAUUGCAAUUAGUUUUGAUCUAUGCCAAAAUUUUAAAUUAUGUAAAUAUAACAUUGAGAAAUGGAAAGUUAUUUGUAUUUUUCAUGUGAACCAUUCAUUUCUCUCUUGAUACAAUGCAUUGAACUCAAGAGGCAAGAGACAUACUCCUUAAAUCACCAAUUUCUUAAAUUCCCAUCUCCCCUCUUUGCUUCCUCUCUCACCAUUAAAACCAAACAACCCACACAAUCCACCUGCAACUGUAAUAAACAUUCUUCUUUGCUCACCAUCCGUAUGAAAAACCUUGAUACCACCUUGGAUCCAUAAUCUUUUCACGAUCUAAUCCCUCCAUAUUCUUUCUUCCUACCACUGUAUCUCACACCAACAAACUGCAAAAAACCUAACACACCCAUCACAAACCGCAUAAAAACACCUUAACACUACCUCCAAAAAAAGUGUAAACUCACUGCAAUAUAAACCUCAUCCUACAACCACGUACUCCCUCCGAUGUUCACUAUCCACAACUUCAACAAGCGAAGCCAACACCUGCCACCAUCACGUUCCGACGCAAAAGGCUAAUCUCUCGCUGCAUCGGACAAAUCUCCAUGGAAAACCACUCAAUAACAACCAAAGUAAACCCAAUCCACCAUCACCCGUUUCGCCGUCGGUAACUUAUUUAAUCUAUUUUCUGAUGGAAUGUUUUACAAUUGCAGGACAGCUCCACCCUUGGAUCUUUCAAUGAGGAGGUUAGAUAUAAAAGCUUGACUCUCUUCUUUCCCCUCUACUGAAUCGAUUCAAGGUUGCAAAAGAUUAUUUCAUCUCAGUAGCUUAAAAGGUGGUCAUGGUCAAUUGGCUAGACAGGUGACGUUGUUGAUGGUGUUUUGCGAUUAUAUAGGGAACUGCAUAAAUGGAUGCGAUUUCAGCGCCGAGACCAGCUAACUUCUACAAAAGAUUGAAUUCUAUUUCUGGCAAGAGGCAAGAGAUAGUUCUAUUGGAUAAUGAUGGAAGAAAUAAAUUCGGGUUUAAGAGAGAUAGAAGAGCAAAUUGCCUCAAAGUCUUAUUAAAACUUAACACAUAUCACCUCAUCUCACAUCAUAAGUACUAUAAAUAUAUAUUUUUACUAUAAUUUAUAUCAUGUUAUAA